rnacentral:misc_RNA from 1 species
GAUGAAGAACGUAGCGAAAUGCGAUAAGUAAUGUGAAUUGCAGAAUUCAGUGAAUCAUCGAAUCUUUGAACGCACAUUGCGCCCGCCAGUAUUCUGGCGGGCAUGCCUGUUCGAGCGUCAUUUCAACCAUCAAGCCCCCGGCUUGUGUUGGGGACCUGCGGCUGCCGCAGGCCCUGAAAACCAGUGGCGGGCUCGCUAGUCACUCCGAGCGUAGUAAUACAUCUCGCUCAGGGCGUGCUGCGGGUUCCGGCCGUUAAAAAGCCUUAUUUACCCAAGGUUGACCUCGGAUCAGGUAGGAAGACCCGCUGAACUUAAGCAUAUAAUAAGCGGAGGA